UACAGAGGUCUCAAGCGUUGUUCGGAUUCAUUGGGCGUAAAGGGUGUGUAGGUGGCGCGCUAAGUCGGGUGUGAAAUUUCGGAGCUUAACUCCGAAACUGCAUUCGAUACUGGCGUGCUUGAGGACUGGAGAGGAGACUGGAAUUUACGGUGUAGCAGUGAAAUGCGUAGAUAUCGGGAGGAACACCAGUGGCGAAGGCGGCUACCUGGCACAUAACUGACGCUGAUACGCGAAAGCGUGGGGAGCAAACAGG
rnacentral:rRNA from 1 species